rnacentral:rRNA from 1 species
GAUGAACGCUAGCUACAGGCUUAACACAUGCAAGUCGAGGGGAAACGACAUUGAAGCUUGCUUCGAUGGUCGUCGACCGGCGCACGGGUGAGUAACGCGUAUCCAACCUGCCUCUGACCAAGGGAUAACCCGUCGAAAGUCGGCCUAAUACCUUAUGCAGUCGUCGGAAUUCAUCUGAUGACGACGAAAGAUUUCAUCGGUGAGAGAUGGGGCUGCGUCUGAUUAGCUUGUUGGCGGGGUAACGGCCCACCAAGGCAACGAUCAGUAGGGGUUCUGAGAGGAGGAGAAGUCACACGGGGACUGAGACACGGCCCAUACUGCUACGGGAGGCAGCGGUGGGGAAUAUUGGGGAAUGGGCGAUAGUGUGAUGCAGCAAUGCCGCGGGAGAGAUGAAGGCCUUAGGGUUGUAAAGAUCUUUUACGCGGGAUGAUAAUGACAGUACCGGGAGAAUAAGCUCCGGGUAACUCAGUG